rnacentral:piRNA from 1 species
UGCUUGAGUUCUGGAGGAUUCCUAAAGA